GUUUGCUCAGGUUAGUUCAGAAGAGUGGCUAAAGUCUUCCCACUGACUUUCUCUCUCUCUCUCUCUCUCUCUCUCUCUCUCUCUCUCUCUCUCUCUCUCUCUCGCACUCAACCUCCAUCAACCCGGCGUCUUGCAUGCAAAGAACUCUGAUAUGGAGUGACUGAGAGUGUGCUUGCAAGCCAUGUUAGUCUGCUCCUGAAAAGACCAUUUCCUGCAAGAUUCGAAUCCUGCUUCAUAAGCCAAUAGCUGUCCUU
rnacentral:lncRNA from 1 species